UGCAUAGGAAUCUGCCCUUUUGAGGGGAAUAGCCAUGGGAAACUGUGAGUAAUACCCCAUAAGCUCGUAAGAGGAAAGGUCUUUUAGACCGCUGAAGGAGGAGCCUGUGUCAGAUUAGGUUGUUGGUGGGGUAAAUGCCUACCAAGCCUGUGAUCUGUAGCUGGUCUGAGAGGAUGAUCAGCCACACUGGGACUGAGAUACGGCCCAGACUCCUACGGGAGGCAGCAGUGAGGAAUUUUGGACAAUGGGGGAAACCCUGAUCCAGCGAUGCCGCGUGAAUGAUGAAGGCCUUUUGGUUGU
rnacentral:rRNA from 1 species